CAGAGGAUAGUUAAUAUAUAAUAGUAGGUUUGGAACUUACAGAAGAGAGAGUCUUCUCUGA
rnacentral:tRNA from 1 species